GUGCAGAAGGGAUAGCAGCAAUGGCUUCACGGCCGGAUAGUGAUCCCUGCGUUGCUGUACUGCUGCCUACAACUGCACAUGUACUACACCUAAAGUCGCCACCAGCUCGAGCAUUGAUUGAUGCCAAUGUUGCAGUUGCUCUUGGGACAGAUUUUAAUCCCAAUGCAUACUGUGUCUCCAUGCCUCUGGCUAUGAAUUUAGCAUGUUGUAUGUUUAGAAUGAGUAUGAAUGAAGCACUUGUA
rnacentral:misc_RNA from 1 species